GAUUCUGAUAGUAAUCGUAAUGGGAGUAGCACUAAGAAACAACAGCGACCGCCUCGUCCUUGUGAUGUACUUGACAUCUCUCUUAAUAUUGUAGCAGAUGCAAUUCGUGAUUUCGGCCUUGGAAAAGAGGUCAAUCAAACAAGUAAAGUCUUGGAUUUGCUAGAGGAGGUGUAAGGGCUGACCAACAUCGAGUUCAUUGGGGUUGGCCAGCUCUCAAGUUGGGACAAGCAACUUGCUUCUUUCUUUGUGAGUCUACGACUUGAGCGCCAUGUAGAUUGGCUUAAGAAAACAAUAUCUGAUAAGUUUGCAUCUGGUGGUGGUGGUUUUGUUUGAUGGGGAUCUGUUUGAUAUGGUUUUUUUUUAUUUAUUUUGGACUUAUAAUAACUUUUUUUAGUAUUUUGGACAUGUUACGUUUGGCAAACACUACGGAUUAAACUGUUUAAGUUAGAUAUGUUGUGGAAUUUGAACUCUGUUAUUAUAAAUUCGUAGAUUGGUUAUAAUUGUAUGCCCAGAUUGGUCGGGAUGAUGAAUUUGGAUAUUGCCGAAGGACAUCAUGGUUAGUUGAUAAAUUUGAUGUUCGGCUACUAUCCAAAUCUUCAAGGAUGGGGAAAGAGAAUUAUUACGUUCUACUCGUUGGUUGCAGACCAGACAUUUAUGUAUCUUGGGAGGAGGCCAGAUUAGAGGUAGAAGGCUACAACAGGAGUAGACAUCGAGCUUUCAAAAACGUGAAAGAAGCGUCUACCUAUUGGGAAAGUCACUAUGGCAAUUCAAUUGCCCAACCAGCUGUAAGAUGAACCACAUAUGAUGGAUGUGUAUCAAGCUCUUCUGAUCAUCUCGACACAAGGAGGAUAUCUUGGUCGUCAACCAAAUAGACGUCACAGGCCAUGGUAUCUCAGGCUACUUCGACGGAUGAGACUGAGAUAUCCUUUGGCGAGGGAGUGGCUGCAUUUAUUACGGGCAUCGUGGUUAUGUUCUUUGUCCUGUAUAUUAUUAUUAGACUGUAAUGUAUUUUCUGAUGUAUGUCUGUAUUAAUCCUUGCAAACUCUACUAACACUUAUUCCAGGAUCUCCAUUACAUGAUGCUUCAUGU